UAAAUGUAAAUUCGUUUUUAACGAGAUAUUUCCAUAGGUGCGCGGCCUGCAGAGAAGAUUGCACUCUGUUGGCGAGACGGGGAAACGAAAUCGUCGAACUAGUCGAGACUGAGAUUCCUCCCUGUUAAAACGACGUUAAUCCCUUUUAUAAUAAUAUCCGCGUAGAUUGAAGGACAACUUAAUUAGCCGAGAUCGUUAGAAUCCCCGUGAAAGGCCACGACGAUGCUCCCCAUCGGACUAGAGAAUUCGCCGAUUAUGUGGAGAAUAACCUUCGUUCCUAUUAUAGAUUCAUUUUCAGGUUAGAAAUAAGCCUUACGAUCAGUCUCGUACGAGGUUCACGUGCUUACAUUAUUUCUUUUACCAAAAGUGACAAUAAGUGUAAAUAGUGGAGAGAGUAGUAUUCUAAUAUAAGUAUUCUAAUAUAAUCCUAAUGAUUAGUGCUUUUAAUAAAAUUCUUCGUUGAAAUAUAAGAAAACGAAAUAGAGAAUUCGAAAAUAUUAAAUUGAGAAUUUUGACUUUCUCGUGAAGAUUAGGAUUAUUUUUUUAAUUUUUUGUAAAUCGCAAAAUUAUUCAGCUCCUUGAAAUUCUGAAAAAUUCUGAUCUUAUUUUAAUAUAACCAUCUCGAAAAACGACGUUUUCGAACUAUGAUAUACUUUCGAGACCCGACUCGAUACGAUUCGACCCGAUCUUUCCCGAUCUAUUCCGAACGUUCUCGACAUUUUCGGGUUCUCGCACACCUUUAAAGCGAAACAACAAUUAAUCUACCCAGAAGAUAAAGUGAUAAUAUAAUAAUAAAACUAGAAUAUCCCUCGGGCAUUGUAAACUUAUUUUAAUGUAAACUUAACGUAACGGACAUAACCUUAACCUAACUCAAAUCUAAAUGUCUAACCUUUGCAAAAUAACAGAGAAGUAAAAUUGAAUUUACGUCUAAUUAAAAAAUAAUCGAAUAUGUGUUUACAUAUAUAGUGUUACAAAAUAGAAUUUUCUGUGCAACGAAGAAAUACCUGUGCAACGAGCAGAUUGAAUUAAUUUUUUAAUUUCAACGAGAUUUUCAGACGAGAGAGCAGAACACAUGGUAACAUUUCACGAAUUGAAUCCGGACGAGGCGUACUUCCAUAUGCAACCGUAUGGCCUUUGAAUACGAUCGGACUGGACGAUAAACUGGCGAGAAAUUAGCUGGUAUAAAUCACACGCGGAAUACUAUAAUGACAAAAUCUAAUGUACAGACGCCGUUGGGAGAUCGGAGUUCAACUAAUUUUCAGAAACUCUAAGGGUACAAUCGUGCAAAAUUAGAUGCAAUUCCCAGGAGACGGACGAAAAUCCACCAAGUAACCAAAUAUCCUGAAUCGAAAUGCUUCUCUUUGACAUACAUAUGUAAUAUGUAACGUAAUAUCAUAUACAAGAGAUAGAGAAGAGAACUAGAACUAGCAAAUCGGUUAAAUUGAUUGCUCUCAUUUAUUAUUACCAAAUAUAAGUAUAUUUCGAUAAAAUUAAUAUCAUUUCAAUUACUAUUUUAUUUUAAUUAAUCGUGCACGAUAUAUGAAUAUUGCAGAUAAUUUUAAUAUCAAAGAAUAAACCGUGAAGAAAGAAAAAAAAUCAAAAUUUUCAACUAACUACUAAUUGUGGGAUACUACAAGCUCGUAUAAAAGUUUAAUAUGCUGCGCAGUUACAGUAACGAGUAUCUGAUUAUGGAUAUUAUACAUUCUUAAUUUAUUUAACGUUUUCUCUCGACGAACGAGAUAUUCUUUUUUUCUUAAUUUGCAGGAACUUCAUUUCAAUUACACUGGAAGCUGUGUUCAGGAAGUUUAAUAUGCAAUUAUCGUUCUGGAAUAAAUGAAAGAGCAGUGUCAAUCGAGGAAAACACGAAGGUUAAAAACAAUUGACUAACGACAUAAAGGAAUACGUAAUAAGAGCAUACGAGUCAAAGGUAAAUGUUCGCGUUAAUAGGCAAUUACCAAGCAGUUUCCGCGUGGAACAUGUUCCUCUCGAUGAAAGCCUUACGCUUGCCGACCGUAUAAUCGAAAAUUAGGGUGCAGUUAGCAAGUGCUUAAGCAACAACUGUUUAUUGAUAUAGUUAAUGAAUUUCCGCGCAAACUGUUGUGCCUCGAUAAAUAUCAUUGCUGGGACGUUGGUCGUGAAAUACAAAAUGGAAAAAUAUCAUUGAAAUAAUUAUUUCUCUUCUUGUUCGUUCAUAGACCACUUAUAUAAUAAAAUAUAACGAUCAAUUUCUACAUCGAUGUACGAGCUUGAAAAAUUCUAAAUUUAUAAUUAUUAUUUUAGAAGCUAUGUAAUUAAACCUCGUUAAAAUUAAUGAGUUUUUUUACGUGAAUAAUAUUAAAUAAAUAAUGGAAUAAUUUGUAAGAGAAGAAAUUUUGUACCAACAGUUGAAGAUUAAUUUAUUAAUAUAAGAAAGACGACAAA